rnacentral:lncRNA from 1 species
UAAUCUCCGACGUGGUGUACGGUCAUGUCUGCUGUUUUUUCUUUGUGAGGAGACAGUCAUGAAGCCCAGCCCACACCCAGGAGGAGGGAAGGUGCGAGUCCAGCCCUGUCCUUACGACCAGACAUUCAUCCCCCACCUGCCUGCUCCAACCCUGGGAUUCUGGAACAGAACAUUUUAACAUAAAAGAACUGAAGUGGAUCUAUGGAAGGCAGCAUAUAUGUGGAUCUUAUUUUUGUACCCAUUCAGCCAGUCUACAUCUUUUGGUUGGGUCCUCUAAGAAAGAAGAAGAAGGAAACAGUGCACAUUUGUCCCUGGUACUGCCAUGUCCUGCUGCUCCACAAAACUGGUGGUCUUCUUCCUUACUUGGAUCGGGCAGCUGAGCCAGGGGAACAAGGAAUUCCAGAGAUGACAUGAACACACUUGGCAUUUGGUGAUUGGCUGGCGUCCUCCUCUGAUCUCUGAGAAGAGCUGUAAAAUCCUUCACCUUUGUUAGACCUGAAACCACAUCCAUACCCUAAGCUUUAACUGUGACAAUGCCAGAUCCUUAAUCCACCGUGGCGAGCCAGGGAUCGAACCUGUGUCCCAACAAACCUGCAUCCCAGUAUUCCCAAGACACUGCUGAUCUUGUUGUGCUACAGUGGGAACUCCUGAAGAGGCUAUUUAGAUAAAGGAUCUGGAGAGGGAAGAUCAUCCUGGAUUAUGUGAAUGGGCUCUGUUUAAUCACAUGAGUCUUUAAAAGUGGAAGAGCAGAAGGCAGAAGGGUGUGUUAGAAUGAUGCUCUGUGAGAAGGACCUGCUGCCACGGGCUUUGAAGGCGGAGGCAGGGGACCAUGAGCCAAGAAACACGGCCACCUCCACAAGCGGUGCAUGGCCCUCAGCUUACAGUUGGUAAGAACUCAAGGACUGUGGUCCUAUGCCUGAAAGGGACUGAAUUCUUCCAAUAACUAGAAUGAGCAGAAAGCAUUCUUCCUCAGAGCCUCCAGGAAGGAACACAGCCUACAACUUGAUUUUAGUCUGCUGAGAACCGUGCUGAAUUCCUGACCUCCAAAUCUGCAAAAUAAUAAGUUUUUUUUGUCUUAAGCCACUAAGUUUGUAAUAAUUUGCUGUGGCAACAGUAGAAAACUAACACCCUGAGAUAGAGAUAAAAUUUGUUAAUAUCAUAUAGCCAAUAAGACUAUACCUUUUGACUUUUUUUCUCCCCAGAUAGAUGUCUACACGGUGCAUUUAACUUUGUAAAUGUAUGAUUUUUUAACUAAGAGUAAACAGCCAAGUCAAACACAAGUGUAUUACUCUAGAUAAUUAAACAAUUUUUGAGUGCAUAUGUUAAACCAUGUCCCAGUGGACAUUGAAAACACAUCCUACAUUUUUGCCUUAUUUCCAAGUUUAAUUGUUUUGUUUUUCUUUGCAGGUGAAACGGGAAAUAUCAUUUCAUUUUAUAAACAAUAAGCUCCAUAAGGGCAUCACCUUAUUUCUCUUGGCUGAUGUCAUCUUAUCACAAUACUUGACACAUAGCAGGUGCUAAAUGAAUGUUUGUUGAAUGGGUAAAGAAAUGCUUGCAACCUCAUCACUAAUUAUUUCCUCCUAUGAAAUCUGUGAUUCACCCACACUGAAUUCCUUCAGUUCUUUUAAUAUAAACCAACCAUGUUCUCUCUCACCAUGAGAUUUGUGCAUUUGCUUUUCUUUCUGCCUGGCACCUACACCCCCACUCAGCUUGGCUAACAAGCAGUCAUAUGUUAGGUCUUAGCUUAGACAUGACCCCCUCUGGGAAGUAGUGUCUUGUCACCUCAUCUUCCCACCUGUGACUCUUUCUGCUCUUAGAGCUUCUGUAUUUAAUGCCAUAGCCCUUAAUACAUUGUAUCUGUCUUGUAUGAGCCCCCAUGGAUGGUCUAAUGCAUCGAACUUUAAUAAUUUAGCAUCAGCUCCAGAGUCAGACUGCAUUGAUACACAUCCUGUCUCCACAACUGACUAGUUGUAUUAUUUUAGGUAAGUUAGAUCUUUUUGUGACUCAAUUUUCUCAUCUGUAAAAUGGGGAUAAUAUUAAUAUCUCCACUGCAUACACUGUGGUGAGAAUUAAAUGUUAAGGGCUUAGAAGAGAGCCUGGUGUAUGGCUAGUACAUGGGAAGCCAUUGUUUUUUAAAUUCCUUGAAAUCAGGAGCACAAACUGUUCACUAUUGUCCUCUGUUUCUGAUGCAGAAUGCUUGAUACUGAGCAAGUGCUCAAGAUCCUUUGGUGACUUGAAUAGAAUUGUGACCCAGUGAGAAGCAUCCUUUUAUCAGACCUGAACUGGAGAUAAAAGAGCAAUGUCUUGAGUGAGAUGAGCUACCCAGAGAGGCUCAACACUAAAGCUAGGAGAGUGCUUCUCCCUAAAAUGUCUGGAAGGCAAAGUGCUGGCCAUGUUGCUCCCUGGAGAAGGCUAUGGAGUCGAGCCUUCUGAUAUAUAAGCGUCGUCACAUCUCAGAUGCAUCAGCCUAGUCCCAAAACAGACAUGGGUUUUAGUAAUGGCAGACCUUCCAUCCCUACCUCCCCCCACCCCACCCACACGCCCCUUCCUCCACCCCAUCCCUGUUCUCCCUGGAUCAGGAAAUUCUCCGCCAGCUUUGAGUCCCAUUACAUUGACCCCAGGGGAUCAGCCCUUGCCGUUUGUUCUGUCUUUUAAAUUUUAUUGGGGUAGAAUUGAUUUACAAUGUUGUAUUAGCUUCAGGCUUAUAGCAAAGUGAAGCGGUUCUGCAUAUACAUACAUCCAUGCUUUCUUCCCAUAUAGGUUAUUACAGAGCGAUGGAUCAGCCUUUGAAUUUCCCUGCAAGGAAUGUCCUGCUGCACGGAGCGCUGUCUGCUCUUUUGUCAUCUUUGCUGCCUCCCUCCCAACCUUCCUUCCUUGAAAAGGCCCACCUUGGCUUCCAUUUCCAAAGAAUCUUGAAGCAGCUUGCCGGUGAGUGGUUGAGCUACUUCCUCCCUAUCUGGUAUGUGGUUUAAUGUGUUCUACCUACCAGGUGAUGUGGUCCUGCUUUACCAGGG